rnacentral:rRNA from 1 species
UACGUAGGGGGCAAGCGUUGUCCGGAAUCAUUGGGCGUAAAGCGCGCGUAGGCGGCCCGGUAAGUCCGUUGUGAAAGUCAAAGGCUCAACCUUUGAACGCCGAUGGAUACUGCCGGGCUAGAGUCCGGAAGAGGCGAGUGGAAUUCCUGGUGUAGCGGUGGAAUGCGCAGAUAUCAGGAAGAACACCCGUGGCGAAGGCGGCUCUCUGGGACGGUACUGACGGCUGAGACGCGAAAGCGUGGGGAGCGAACAGG